AGAUUGAACGCUGGCGGCAUGCCUUACACAUGCAAGUCGAACGGUAACAGGGAGCUUGCUCCGCUGACGAGUGGCGAACGGGUGAGUAAUACAUCGGAACGUGCCCAGUAAUGGGGGAUAGCUCGGCGAAAGCCGGAUUAAUACCGCAUACGCCCUGAGGGGGAAAGUGGGGGAUCGCAAGACCUCACGUUAUUGGAGCGGCCGAUGGCUGAUUAGCUAGUUGGUAGGUAAAGGCCUACCAAGGCGACGAUCAGUAGCUGGUCUGAGAGGACGAUCAGCCACACUGGGACUGAGACACGGUCCAGACUCCUACGGGAGGCAGCAGUGGGGAAUUUUGGACAAUGGGCGCAAGCCUGAUCCAGCCAUGCCGCGUGAGUGAAGAAGGCCUUCGGUGUAAGCUCUUUCAGCCGGAAAGAAACGCACGGUUAAUACCCUGUGUGGAUGACGUACCGGAAGAAGAAGCACCGGCUAACUACGUAGCCGAGCAGCCGCGUAAC
rnacentral:rRNA from 1 species